rnacentral:rRNA from 1 species
GGCGAGUGAAGCGGUAAUAGCUCAAAUUUGAAAUCUGGCUCUAGGGUCCGAGUUGUAAUUUGUAGAGGAUGUUUCGGGUGCGCCCGCAGUUUAAGUUCCUUGGAACAGGACGUCAUAGAGGGUGAGAAUCCCGUCUUGAACUGUACGGCAAGUCCAUGUGAAACUCCUUCGACGAGUCGAGUUGUUUGGGAAUGCAGCUCAAAAUGGGAGGUAAAUUUCUUCUAAAGCUAAAUAUUGGCCAGAGACCGAUAGCGCACAAGUAGAGUGAUCGAAAGAUGAAAAGCACUUUGAAAAGAGAGUUAAACAGUAUGUGAAAUUGUUAAAAGGGAAGCGUUUGCAACCAGACUUGUUUCUAACAGUUCUACCGCAGUUCUCUGUGGCUUAUUCUGUUAGUCCAGGCCAGCAUCAGUUUGGGUGGCUCGUUAAAGACUUUGGGAAUGUAUCUACUCCUUCGGGUGUAGACUUAUAGCCCAUUGUGUAAUAGGGUCUACCUGGACUGAGGUACGCGCAU